UACCACAUCUAGGUAUCAAUUUAAUCCCCUGGGACAAAUCAUUUUGGGCCUCUUAUAUUUAACUUGUCAGCAACCCAUCUCCCAUUUUAUUCCAAAUAACUUCCCAUUUUCAGAUUUUGGCCCAGCUCACCCCGUAAUUCCCUUUAAUUCUGAGCCCCAAAAUCAUCCUAGCCAAUCUAAAUGAACCCGGCCCACCUUUUCCCAAUAACCGGCCCAAAUACCCUUUCUCAUCUUCAACAAACUACAAAGAAAUCUAGAAUCUCCAGCGCAACAGAGGAUCCAAUGAAAAUACACGGAGUGGACGACGACAAGCGCGUGGGCAGCAACGCGGAAACUCCCUCCAUGAUUCCAACGAUUUCAAACGAUUGAGUGCGUGAAGAAGACUUUCACAUCCAUUGGCGCGUGACUCAUGACCAGCGUCACCUUUCAUGCGUACAACAGGGUACCUAGCACCCCAAGGACAAGCAUCGAUCCUAGCCUCCCACCCCCUUUCCUCUUCUGGAAUGAGUCAAAUUCUUAAAAGAAAAGAGUGAUUCCCUUAAUAGUGAAAGUUUUUCUCUUUUCAAAUUUUGAAUUCGUUUUUCCCCCCUUUGGAGAACCCUAAUUCUGGGCAUAUAUGUUCUUUUUUUCUUCACACAAGGGAUGGGGUUUUUGUUUGGGGGAAAAUUCUAGUAGGAAAUUUUCACUAAUGCAAAGAAAGCUUAAGAGAAAUAAUGUAGAAUACACUUAAGUAUACUCUGUGAACAUAGAAGAUACUAUUUUAGUGUAUAAGUUCAAUCUUCUGUUCGGAUUCUUUGCUUAUUGUUCGCGUGCAAGUCUUCUCGUGGUAAAGUUUGACUCCUGCUCGCCUAGUCACGGUCUUGCUGCCCUGAAGAAGACCCCAUCCUCACAUUUUCAUUUGGACCAUGGAGGAUCGAAUUUUGAUCUUCCGAGUCAACCAUUCAAUAAAUCCACGGACAUGUCUCGAAGUUUAAGGAAUUGAAGAAAGUCCAAGAAAUUGGAUAAGAAGACCCCUUUAUUUUCAUAUGUUAUAUUUUUAUUAUGUAAUGGGCCUAAGCCAUUGCUGCUUUUUACUAUUAUCUGAUCAGUUUAGGGCAGGUGCAAGUCGAGUGGGCCUAAGACCCACCGAUAAGGGUCUAAAUUCUUGUCCAGGCGGACAGAAAACCCAGAUUUGGACCCAACUCUCUCCUCUCUCUCUCUCUCUCUUCUUUAUAUCCACUUUACUUGUCGUUAGUUUUAAAGUUAAAGAAUCCAAAUUCUCGCAAACUGCAUAAAUAUUUUAAUUCCAAAUGAAUUCUUUCAAACUAACUCUAGGUAAUUUUUACAAGUUAGAUUAUUUUUGCCAAAUAGAUUAGUUGUUUGGAUAACAACAAGUAAGCGGACGUCUUAGAUGCUUUCAAAAUCUUCCUAAGACGAUAAUAAGAAUCCUGACCUCCCCAAAAAAACUUUCGUUUGAUUUUUUAUUUUUGAUUAAAUGGAUGAUUAGUUUUCUUAA